GUGGGGAAUAUUGGACAAUGGGCGCAAGCCUGAUCCAGCAAUGCCGCGUGGGUGAAGAAGGUCUUCGGAUCGUAAAGCCCUUUCGACAGGGACGAUGAUGACGGUACCUGUAGAAGAAGCCCCGGCUAACUUCGUGCCAGCAGCCGCGGUAAUACGAAGGGGGCUAGCGUUACUCGGAAUUACUGGGCGUAAAGGGCGCGUAGGCGGCUCUGUUAGUCAGGCGUGAAAUUCCUGGGCUUAACCUGGGGACUGCGCUUGAUACUGCAGGGCUUGAGGCCGAGAGAGGGUGGUGGAAUUCCCAGUGUAGAGGUGAAAUUCGUAGAUAUUGGGAAGAACACCGGUGGCGAAGGCGACCACCUGGCUCGGUUCUGACGCUGAGGCGCGACAGCGUGGGGAGCAAACAGGAUUAGAAACCCCUGUAGUCC
rnacentral:rRNA from 1 species